AACGCUAGCGACAGGCUUAACACAUGCAAGUCGAGGGGUAACAGGGUAGCAAUACCGCUGACGACCGGCGCACGGGUGAGUAACGCGUAUGCAACCUGCCUAUAACUGGGGAAUAGCUCCCUGAAAGGGGAAUUAACACCGCAUAACACUAUUGAUUCGCAUGGAUUGGUAGUUAAAUGUAGCGAUACAGGUUAUAGAUGGGCAUGCGUGACAUUAGCUAGUUGGUGAGGUAACGGCUCACCAAGGCUACGAUGUCUAGGGGUUCUGAGAGGAAGGUCCCCCACACUGGUACUGAGACACGGACCAGACUCCUACGGGAGGCAGCAGUGAGGAAUAUUGGUCAAUGGGCGCAAGCCUGAACCAGCCAUGUCGCGUGCAGGAAGACUGCCCUAUGGGUUGUAAACUGCUUUUAUAGUAGAAGAAAUACAUCUACGCGUAGAUGUCUGCCAGUAUACUAUGAAUAAGCAUCGGCUAACUCCGUG
rnacentral:rRNA from 1 species